UACGAAGGGUCCAAGUGUUAUCCGGAUUUAUUGGGUUUAAAGGGUGCGUAGGCGGCUUAUUAAGUCAGUGGUGAAAGCCUGCAGCUUAACUGCAGAACUGCCAUUGAUACUGAUGAGCUUGAAUAUACUUGAGGUUGGCGGAAUGUGUCAUGUAGCGGUGAAAUGCUUAGAUAUGACAUAGAACACCAAUUGCGAAGGCAGCUUACUACCCGAAUAUUGACACUGAGGCACGAAAGCGUGGGGAUCAAACAGG
rnacentral:rRNA from 1 species